CAGUAGCCGCGGUAAUACAGAGGGUGCGAGCGUUAAUCGGAUUUACUGGGCGUAAAGCGUGCGUAGGCGGCUUCUUAAGUCGGAUGUGAAAUCCCUGAGCUUAACUUAGGAAUUGCAUUCGAUACUGGGAAGCUAGAGUAUGGGAGAGGAUGGUAGAAUUCCAGGUGUAGCGGUAAAAUGCGUAGAGAUCUGGAGGAAUACCGAUGGCGAAGGCAGCCAUCUGGCCUAAUACUGACGCUGAGGUACGAAAGCAUGGGGAGCAAACAGGAUUAGAUACCCCAGUAGUCCCUGUCUCUUAUAC
rnacentral:rRNA from 1 species